rnacentral:rRNA from 1 species
GAUGAACGCUAGCUACAGGCUUAACACAUGCAAGUCGAGGGGCAGCAUGGUCUUAGCUUGCUAAGGCCGAUGGCGACCGGCGCACGGGUGAGUAACGCGUAUCCAACCUGCCUUACACUCUUGGACAGCCUUCUGAAAGGGAGAUUAAUACAAGAUGUUAUCAUGAGUAAGCAUUUUCGCAUGAUUAAAGGUUUACCGGUGUAAGAUGGGGAUGCGUUCCAUUAGAUAGUAGGCGGGGUAACGGCCCACCUAGUCUUCGAUGGAUAGGGGUUCUGAGAGGAAGGUCCCCCACAUUGGAACUGAGACACGGUCCAAACUCCUACGGGAGGCAGCAGUGAGGAAUAUUGGUCAAUGGACGAGAGUCUGAACCAGCCAAGUAGCGUGAAGGAUGAAGGUUCUAUGGAUUGUAAACUUCUUUUAUACGGGAAUAAACGAAUCCACGUGUGGAUUUUUGCAUGUACCGUAUGAAUAAGGAUCGGCUAACUCCGUGCCAGCAGCCGCGGUAAUACGGAGGAUCCGAGCGUUAUCCGGAUUUAUUGGGUUUAAAGGGAGCGUAGAUGGGUUGUUAAGUCAGUUGUGAAAGUUUGCGGCUCAACCGUAAAAUUGCAAUUGAUACUGGCAGUCUUGAGUACAGUUGAGGUAGGCGGAAUUCGUGGUGUAGCGGUGAAAUGCUUAGAUAUCACGAAGAACUCCGAUUGCGAAGGCAGCUUACUAACCUGUAACUGACAUUGAUGCUCGAAAGUGUGGGUAUCAAACAGGAUUAGAUACCCUGGUAGUCCACACGGUAAACGAUGAAUACUCGCUGUAGGCGAUAUACAGUCUGCGGCCAAGCGAAAGCAUUAAGUAUUCCACCUGGGGAGUACGCCGGCAACGGUGAAACUCAAAGGAAUUGACGGGGGCCCGCACAAGCGGAGGAACAUGUGGUUUAAUUCGAUGAUACGCGAGGAACCUUACCCGGGCUUAAAUUGCAACCGAAUAUGGCGGAAACGCUAUAGCUAGCAAUAGCGGUUGUGAAGGUGCUGCAUGGUUGUCGUCAGCUCGUGCCGUGAGGUGUCGGCUUAAGUGCCAUAACGAGCGCAACCCUUGCCGAUAGUUACUAACAGGUCAUGCUGAGGACUCUGUCGGGACUGCCAUCGUAAGAUGUGAGGAAGGUGGGGAUGACGUCAAAUCAGCACGGCCCUUACGUCCGGGGCUACACACGUGUUACAAUGGGGGGUACAGAGGGCUGCUACCACGCAAGUGGAUGCCAAUCCCAAAAACCUCUCUCAGUUCGGAUUGAAGUCUGCAACCCGACUUCAUGAAGCUGGAUUCGCUAGUAAUCGCGCAUCAGCCACGGCGCGGUGAAUACGUUCCCGGGCCUUGUACACACCGCCCGUCAAGCCAUGGGAGCCGGGGGUACCUGAAGUGCGUAACCGCAAGGAGCGCCCUAGGGUAAAACUGGUGACUGGGGCUA